rnacentral:misc_RNA from 1 species
AAGUCGUAACAAGGUUUCCGUAGGUCAGUAAAUAAUUCUCUUCUAUUUUUCGUUGCUAACUGUCGUAGGUGAACCUGCGGAAGGAUCAUUACCGAGUAAUCCUGCUCGCAGGAACUCCCACCCUUGUGUAUUGACUGUUGCUUCGGCGAGACGCUGGAGACGGCCGCUGGAUAUCUGACUCCGAUAUCCCAGCGUGGGCUCGUCGGAGAAUACAUACUCUGAGAUUAUGUACAGUCAGAGAAUCAAGCAAUAUAUCAAAACUUUCAACAACGGAUCUCUUGGUUUUG